CAACCUAAAAUAGCAACCUAAAAUAGCACCUAUGAAGAUUUUCCUCUCUUGGUUAUGUGAAUUGCUUGUUUCAUAUAUACCUCUUUCUGUUAUGUGACCCAUUCUUGCACUCAGAGUUGGAACAACAACUACGGGUUGGGAUAAAGGAGGUGGAGGAGACCUUUUAGGUUUAUUCAAUGGGCCUUACCUAUCUGGUUUCACCUUCCAAUACAACGAGGUGCAGGGCAUGAUGUGUGAGAGGUAUUGGCCAUCUCAAAGGUUGAUUUAUACAUACCGAUUUGACCCUGAUUUUUUGACCUUCAUGGGAAAUUUUGCGAAGCUCAGACCUCGAGGGACGCAUGAAGUGGUCGGUUCUUUCUAUGGGAAGUAUCAGUCUUGCAAUGGUGCCAACAAAUUUCAUUGAAGUUCAUUUUUUAGAACCUUGAGUAAAUAAGGUGAUCAGACCAUCCACCAGCGUGGGAAAACAUCCAGCAUCAAGGAGCUAGCCCUGCACCCAGGUGCAACAGAUCCACCAUCAGCUGGAGGUGAGCCCAGACCUGGAGAAAAAAAUCUCAUCUUAUUUGGAUGAAGCAAUUCUAUGAAGCAAAGAAAUGUGACAUUAGAAGUAAUUCAAUGAAGCAAAGAAAAUUUGACAGGUCAAAUCCAUUUUCACAUCAUAAUUAUACUAGGUUAUUUAGUGUCACCCCAUGGUAACAUAAUUUUACUCAUAUUUUUAGGAUUGUUCAUGUUAAAAUAGAUUUGAUUGAACUUCUAAUAUCAUUCAUGAUCCCGAAACUAUUCAUACCAAUCUGGGGCAUCCCCUCUAUUUCCCUGGAAUUUACAGUGGUCACGGCAAUAAGACUUCCAAAGGAGCAAUAUUGUUGUGGCAAUCCUUUGGAAGGCACCAAUUUCAUCGACUAGGCAGAAACUAUGUUUGGUAUUACAUUUGCCCUUCUCUUCACAAAUAUGUACUAGGUUAUAUUUUGAUGUUCAAUUUUGGCUUCAGUAACAAGCUCAUGGGAUAUACUCUGUUUGUAUUAUAUUUGGUCUUCCCUUCACGAAUAUGUACUAGGUUCUGUUUUGAUGUUCAGUCCGUUCAGUAACAAGCUCAUGGAAUAUUAAGAUAUGAUGUAUUCUGAACAAUGGUGGGUUGCAACCUUGGUUGGUAAACAAUUGUGUUUAAUAUUUGUUCUUUCAUCUGCAGUUGUCACCAACAAUAAAUUUGUCUUCUCUAAGAGUGAUCUGGCUACUUGGGAGAAUGUUGAGCCUCACCGGGAUUUAAGAUGUAGAGGUGGCUGGCAUCUACAGUGUGUUGCCGCUGACACCAUGCUUGCUCAGGAUCCUCAAUAUGAGGCCCGAGAUGUGAAAUCAUAGGCAUGGCGGCCUUGAUGCGUCGGUGAUUUUUUUUUAGUAUGAGAGCUUCUCUGUUUUCAGCUCAGCGCUCGUGGCAUGGCGGCUUUGAUGCAUAGAUUGAAUUUUAUUAGCAAGAGUCUUCUAUAUUUUUCCAUUCAACUUUGCAUGUUCCUUGACUUUCCUUGGUUUCACACAUCCAGAGGGUUUGCUGCAGCAUUGCCAGACGUUCAGGUAGUCUGAGUGAGACUGUGGUUUACCCAUUAGUAUGCUUUUUUCUUAAUCUUCACUUCUUGCUAUGUUCAGCCAGUGUUAAUUCAAGACUAAAUCUGCGCUGCAUAAAGAGAAACCACACGAUUAGUUUCAGCAGCUUGAGUGUAGAAUUUGCAAAAGUUACUGAGUAGUUAAUAGUUUUAACCACAGCCCAAGCUAUCCAAAUCGUAAGCAGUUAUGCACAUUAGUACAGUAAAUAUGACGUGUUCAUAUCUCUCCUGCAUGAGUUGGAGCAAACCGAUUGCUGCAUGUGUUGGCAUAUACAAUCCAUGGAAGUAUAUAUUAUUGAAUAAUACAAUCAAACCAAUUGCUUUUUAUAUGAUUUUGUAUUCCAAAAUAUAAUUAGGAACUGAAUCUGACUGCUUUUCCUUUCAAUAAUAUGCCCCUAUAUGUCAGUGUUGUACAGUUUGGGAAUAAAGCUAUCAUCAGGGCGUAAUUGACAUGUUUUAUGCUUCUUUGUAAAUAUUUAAAUAUAAUUAGGAACAUAAUUUGUAGCACUUCUCACUUCAGUUUGGAUACAUGCACCUGUCUUUAUUUGUGCCAUCAUUGUAUAAUUAGCUAGAAAGCUUCAUUGUUUCUUCAGAUAUGGUGUUAAAUGAUUGAGGAAUCAAGACAGAAAAUAAUAUUGUGUAUUGUAUUUCUCUGUAUUAUACAUGUUCUUAACUGGUGUUUUUUUACCAUCUCCUUUUUCUUAGACCAAUAGUGCUAUAUUUGUGCCUGUUGAAAACUUCAUUGAUAUCUUGCAUGAGAUUAGUGAAUUCCUACUGGUGCUACCAAGGUCAAUUUUUAAGACCGGUUGCAGCAGGUUUUACUAUAAUUAUUGAUGCAUCAACGGUAAUUUACCGUUAAUAUGGCAAUCUCGAUGAUUUCCCUUUUUGGGUGAAAUAUAUUGUCUCAAUGUGCCAGUUGCGACUCCUGAACGACAUUGUGUGUGCUCACUAAUAUUUCUGCUUACUUCUGUCAUAAAUUAUCUGGUUAUUCUCUUGGGCCAAAUACAAAUAACUCUCUUUCUCUUAUGUCCAGAUGUGCUUGGCAAUAUUUCAGCAAUCUCAGUUGUUGCUGUUUUCAUGGUCCCAUGAAAAGGAUUCGGUGCUUAGCAAGGAGAUAUGUAUUCCUCUCUGACCCAAAGAAGGUCGCUGAUGUUUCUCACGUGCUUCCUUUAUGUGUCUAUAUGUUCAUUCUAUUUAUGAUCUAACUAUUGAAUUGAUCGCAACGGCCCGCUGCUAAAAUUUGAUCUCUGAGGUGAUAGUGCUUUAAUGGAAACAUGCUGAGAUUCCUUGGGAAAACUGAGUCAGCUAUAGUUAUCUUUGUUAGCUCCACUAUCUGAGAUUAUUCUGCUAGCCGCUCUUUAUUUCGUUAGACAUUCCAGCAUGGUAUCAUUUCUAUGUUUCCUAUUAACCUAUAUUUGCAGGGGAAAUGGAUCUUUUAUCUUAUUUCAGUGUGGUCAACGAAUCUAAACUCAUCAUUCAUUGGUUAUCAAUAUUGCGCUGCGCCACCAAGUAGGUGACUAUCCGAGGAAUCUCUUGCUGAUUUUAUCAAAUUUAUUAAUCUCUUCCAUGUGAGUGUUUGGAGAAACGGCUAGAGAAAAUGACGAUGAGAUGCUAUUCCUAAGCUUACAACCAAGGUUGUAUCUAUAAAAAUUGUUAUACACUCAUGUACUGUAAGGUUGUUAAUAGCCUCUUUACUGCAGCCAUUUUGUUGCUUUUUUACACGCGAUCUGUUAAUAUGUUUGUGAUUUCGUUUGGUUCCAACAAUUAUGUUAUGAUCUUC